GUUCUGCAGCAGCCAGUCAAUCAGCUGGCAUCCAGCAAAGACACGCCGGUUGACCCCGCCCUGCUCUACCUGCUGUUGCAAGAUGGAGUUCUUCCCAGAGACCAGGCUAUGGAAAAGUAUCCACACACACACUGAGUUUGCCAAGCCACCAAGGGAAUUGGAAUGAGCUCUCACUGCUCAUAAAGCCUUUGGCCGCGCAUGAAGACCUUCAUCUCCAUGUUGAAGGGGAAGGUUCCGUCGUCCUUCCGGAAUCGGUACAGCAGUUUGGCAUCCUUAAACGUUGAUUGCUUGUCACAAACUAGAAGGGAGAAGCAUGACAAUGAUGGAUAAUAUGUUGGAAGGGCCCCCAAAGACAGGGGAACACAUCUGGAGACAGGGGAUCACAUCUGGAACCUGCAGCUACAUACAGUACCUAUAGUUUUUCUUACUCUGAUUUAGUCUCAGUUUGUGACAACAUGUAAUGUGACAGAAAGCUUCAAUGAACUCCAGUUUUCAUGCUCCAUUUUGUUUCAUACUUAUGUCAUUGUCCUUUACUCUCUUUUGUGCUGUGGAGUGCUGGAGGUCAAUUUAUAUACAAAACUGAUGUGUAUGAAGAUGUUUCUCUUGGUAUUUUGGGAAUUGUGACAUGUCUGGUGUAGGUUAUAGUGCGCAGUGUUGGGGAAGUUACUCACAAAAGUAAUCCAUUACAGACAAGGUGGAAAGUUCAGAUCCAGAAUGUAUAAACCCAGACCAAGGCUUUGUUUCAACCAACCAACUCUGUGAUGGUGGCUCUUUAUAUAAUAAAAUGACUAAUGCAAUGAA